CCUACGGGAGGCAGCAGUGAGGAAUAUUGGUCAAUGGCCGGAAGGCUGAACCAGCCAUGCCGCGUGAAGGUCAGUGCCCUAUGGGCGUUAAACUUCUUUUGUGCGGGAGCAAUAAUGGUCACGUGUGGCCAGACGAGAGUACCGUACGAAUAAGCAUCGGCUAACGCCGUGCCAGCAGCCGCGGUAAUACGGGGGAUGCAAGCGUUAUCCGGGUUUAUUGGGUUUAAAGGGUGCGUAGGCUGUGAGGUAAGUCAGCGGUGAAAUGCCCCCGCUCAACGGGGUGAAGUGCCAUUGAUACUGGCUGGCUGGAGUGCGGAUGCGGUGGGAGGAAUGUGUGGUGUAGCGGUGAAAUGCAUAGAUAUCACACAGAACACCGAUUGCGAAGGCAUCUCACGAAUCCGCGAUUGACGCUGAUGCACGAAAGCGUGGGUAUCAAACAGGAUUAGAUACCCGUGUAGUC
rnacentral:rRNA from 1 species